CCCCCCUGGCCCGCCGCUGUGGCGGGCCCGUCCACCUUGCGGAAAGAGUACUCCACCGAGAAGUUGUUCUUGUGCUGCCCGCGGCCGCGGCUCCACACAAAGAGGAGCAGGAAGCAGAAGAGGACGACACCCAGGAAGGCAGGAGAGAGUCUUGGCAGUUCAUCCGGCUAGGAUUCAAAACACAGCGCUGUUUUCACUGGACCUGCAAUGCUCGUUUCCUCUCAUUCAUCGAUUCCAUCCACCUGUCAGUCAACAAACGUCUACCGUGCCAGGCAUCUUCCAAGUGCUGGGGACACAGAGAGCCUGAGACAAACAGGUCAGCUUUCUGGGAGCCGACAGAUAAUAAAAGAGGUAAAUACAGGCUCUUCUACCUCCGGCGGCCAUAAAUGAAGAGGAAUAAAUCAGGAAGAUGACAGCGGGGUGUUGAGGGGAUUGUAAUCAUCAUCAUCAAUUUACUGAGGAAAGAUGGUUGUGCAAAGAGUUAGGGAGGGAGAGAGGGGGCCUAGCAGAUAGGGGG